rnacentral:rRNA from 1 species
UGAUCAUGGCUCAGAUUGAACGCUGGCGGCAGGCCUAACACAUGCAAGUCGAGCGGCAGCACAGAGGAACUUGUUCCUUGGGUGGCGAGCGGCGGACGGGUGAGUAAUGCCUGGGAAAUUGCCCGGUAGAGGGGGAUAACCAUUGGAAACGAUGGCUAAUACCGCAUAACCUCGCAAGAGCAAAGCAGGGGACCUUCGGGCCUUGCGCUACCGGAUAUGCCCAGGUGGGAUUAGCUAGUUGGUGAGGUAAGGGCUCACCAAGGCGACGAUCCCUAGCUGGUCUGAGAGGAUGAUCAGCCACACUGGAACUGAGACACGGUCCAGACUCCUACGGGAGGCAGCAGUGGGGAAUAUUGCACAAUGGGCGCAAGCCUGAUGCAGCCAUGCCGCGUGUAUGAAGAAGGCCUUCGGGUUGUAAAGUACUUUCA